rnacentral:rRNA from 1 species
UACGUAGGGUGCAAGCGUUGUCCGGAAUUAUUGGGCGUAAAGAGCUUGUAGGUGGUUUGUCGCGUCUGCUGUGAAAAUCCGAGGCUCAACCUCGGACUUGCAGUGGGUACGGGCAGACUAGAGUUCGGUAGGGGAGUCUGGAAUUCCUGGUGUAGCGGUGAAAUGCGCAGAUAUCAGGAGGAACACCAGUGGCGAAGGCGGCUAUCUGGACGGUUUCUGACACUAAGACACGAAAGCGUGGGGAGCAAACAGG